rnacentral:tRNA from 1 species
UCCUCAGUAGCUCAGCUGGUUAGAGCACCUGACUGUUAAUCAGGGUGUCGCUGGUUCGAAUCCAGCCUGAGGAGUCA